AACAUAAAUAAGUCUAUGUUACGGCCAUAGAAUUGAUAUAUUUAUAUCUUAUGUUU
rnacentral:tRNA from 1 species